rnacentral:sRNA from 1 species
AAAAAACGCUGAAUGCUGUCGUGGAUAGGACAGCAGCGGGGGAACCAACGGUACUGAGUGAUGUCCGCUCCGCGGGCUUCUCAACCUUAGUUCCAUGGGGUGAAUCGCUUGGAGGAUAAUCUAUUCUUCAAGGUAGGGCGACUUCCGCGCCCGAAUCCGUCAGCUAACCUCGUAAGCGUCAAGGAAG